GGGGAAUCUUGCACAAUGGGCGAAAGCCUGAUGCAGCGACGCCGCGUGCGGGACGAAGGCCUUCGGGUUGUAAACCGCUUUCAGCAGGGACGAGGCCGCAAGGUGACGGUACCUGCAGAAGAAGUCCCGGCUAACUACGUGCCAGCAGCCGCGGUAAUACGUAGGGGACGAGCGUUGUCCGGAAUUACUGGGCGUAAAGGGCGCGCAGGCGGAUAUUUAAGUCAGCUGUAAAAGGCAUGAGCUCAACUCAUGUAUGCGGUUGAAACUGGGUAUCUAGAGUGCUGGAGAGGUAGGCGGAAUGCCCGGUGGAGCGGUGAAAUGCGUAGAUAUCGGGAAGAACACCAGUGGCGAAGGCGGCUUACUGGCCAGCAACUGACGCUGAGGCGCGAAAGCCAGGGGAGCGAACG
rnacentral:rRNA from 1 species